rnacentral:tRNA from 1 species
GGAGGAAUGGCAGAGUGGUUGAAUGCACCGGUCUUGAAAACCGACGUACCGCAAGGUACCGGGGGUUCGAAUCCCUCUUCCUCCGCCA